rnacentral:rRNA from 1 species
UACAGGGGGUGCAAACGUUGCUCGGAAUCACUGGGCGUAAAGCGCACGUAGGCGGCUUCUUAAGUCAGGGGUGAAAUCCUGGAGCUCAACUCCAGAACUGCCCUUGAUACUGAGGAGCUCGAGUCCGGAAGAGGUGAGUGGAACUGUGAGUGUAGAGGUGAAAUUCGUAGAUAUUCGCAAGAACACCAGUGGCGAAGGCGGCUCACUGGUCCGGUACUGACGCUGAGGUGCGAAAGCGUGGGGAGCAAACAGG